UAACCCAUGCACAUGCCAAGCUGCGUCUCCUGGAUAACUACAAAUAAUUAGUGAAAUAAGAUAGACUAGUGGAUAUAUCAAUUCAUACAGAUACUACUAGGUAGAGCAUUUAUUUACUCAUAGGUAGAUACAUAAACUUCAAACAGAGCUGCUACAUACAAAAAUAAUUUAUAAACACAAAGAGGAAAAUAAUGGCUACACACAGUCAAAGCUAGCUACAUGAAGAACGUGCAAGUAGAAAAACACAAAUACAAAACUUUAGACCCAAAAACUCAUAUACAUAACACAUAUACAUACAACAAAUAUUCACUGGAGUUCAGCAAAGGACCCUUACUAAGGUAAUAUUACUUAUUAUUAUUUUAUCUUUCACCGCAGGUAUAGAAACAGCAGUUAGUUGUUAAAAUGUUUAACUUUAGAAUACCUUUUUAU